rnacentral:rRNA from 1 species
GUGGGGAAUAUUGGACAAUGGGCGAAAGCCUGAUCCAGCAAUGCCGCGUGAGUGAUGAAGGCCCUAGGGUUGUAAAGCUCUUUUACCCGGGAAGAUAAUGACUGUACCGGGAGAAUAAGCCCCGGCUAACUCCGUGCCAGCAGCCGCGGUAAUACGGAGGGGGCUAGCGUUGUUCGGAAUUACUGGGCGUAAAGCGCACGUAGGCGGCUUUGUAAGUCAGAGGUGAAAGCCUGGAGCUCAACUCCAGAACUGCCUUUGAGACUGCAUCGCUUGAAUCCAGGAGAGGUCAGUGGAAUUCCGAGUGUAGAGGUGAAAUUCGUAGAUAUUCGGAAGAACACCAGUGGCGAAGGCGGCUGACUGGACUGGUAUUGACGCUGAGGUGCGAAAGCGUGGGGAGCAAACAGGAUUAGAAACCCUAGUAGUCC